CACCUAUCUACCCUCACGCAGUCAAACUUACACGUGGACCCGUGACCCAUAUAAGGAUACACGUGCAGACUUCAUUGCUCCAGGGUGCCAAGACUGAUAGCAUGAAUUUUGCAGUGCGUGAUGAGGAUGGGUUGCCUGAGAGACUCUGACUUCAGGAGGAGAAUACUAAAAAGUUACCUAGGGCAUUCUAACUGAAAGAGUAUUCGACAAAGUCACUCUGAAGGCAUCAAGGGCUUUUUGACCAAGAAGGAGCGUGAUGGGGUGCUGCGCCAGAUGACCUGGCCUCCACAGUCAACGGACCUGAACGCAAUCGAGAUGGUUUAAGGGUGAGCUGGACCGCAGACAGAAAGCAAAAGGGCCAACAAGUGCUAAACAUCUUGGGGAACUCCUUCAAGACUGUUGGAAGACCAUUUCAGAAGUGGAGAUGGUCUGCUGAGAAGCUCUAGACAGAGGAGCCCCAUUCUGAUUAAUAUAUGCUCAGGACUUCCUCUUCCACUGGAGAAAAACACCAGAGCAAGUCAAGAUGAUCCCAAGAUCAG